rnacentral:rRNA from 1 species
GAUAAACGCUGGCGGCGCACAUAAGACAUGCAAGUUGAACGGACUUAAUCGAAAUAUUUAUAUUUUGAAGCGGUUAGUGGCGGACUGGUGAGUAACGCGUAAGGAACCUGCCUAUUAGAGGGGAAUAACAGUGAGAAAUCAUUGCUAAUACCGCAUAUGCCAUAGAUAUCACAUGAUAACAGUGGGAAAGGAGCAAUCCGCUAAUAGAUGGCCUUGCGUCUGAUUAGAUAGUUGGUGGGGUAACGGCCUACCAAGUCGACGAUCAGUAGCCGGACUGAGAGGUUGAACGGCCACAUUGGGACUGAGAUACGGCCCAGACUCCUACGGGAGGCAGCAGUCGGGAAUAUUGCGCAAUGGAGGAAACUCUGACGCAGUGACGCCGCGUAGAGGAAGAAGGUUUUCGGAUUGUAAACUAUUGUCGUUAGGGAAGAGAAAGGACAGUACCUAAGGAGGAAGCUCCGGCUAACUACGUG